GGCGAACAGAAACAUGGAUCCUGCAGGACUGAGUGAUGUGCAGAUAAAACAUGGAAAAGUUCAGACGGAUGACUGAUUUCCAUCUCCCGUUGCUGCUGAAGUAGGAUUGAAAGCUCCAGAAAAGCUCCUAAAGGAAUCUUAAGUGUUGGCACGGCGGAUACUGGAAUGGGAGCAGUGUAGGGAAAAGUGCCCUGCUCAGGGACACCUCGGUAGCACUUGGUCCUUACUUGAACCGGUGACCUUCUGGAUCACUGUGGACUUCGCCACCGCCAUCACAUUUCGCACCAUCUACACCACGACGAAUACCUUGUAUGCGUAAACCUGA